UAGUCUGCAACCCGACUACAUGAAGCUGGAAUCGCUAGUAAUCGCGGAUCAGAAUGCCGCGGUGAAUACGUUCCCGGGUCUUGUACACACCGCCCGUCACACCAUGGGAGUCGGAAAUGCCCGAAGUCUGUAACCCAACCUGAGAGGGAGGGAGCAGCCGAAGGCAGGUCUGAUGACUGGGGUGAAGUCGUAACAAGGUAAC
rnacentral:rRNA from 1 species